rnacentral:rRNA from 1 species
UGGGGAAUAUUGCACAAUGGGCGCAAGCCUGAUGCAGCCAUGCCGCGUGUAUGAAGAAGGCCUUCGGGUUGUAAAGUACUUUCAGUCGGGAGGAAGGUGGUAAGGUUAAUAACCUUGUCGAUUGACGUUACCCGCAGAAGAAGCACCGGCUAACUCCGUGCCAGCAGCCGCGGUAAUACGGAGGGUGCAAGCGUUAAUCGGAAUUACUGGGCGUAAAGCGCACGCAGGCGGUCUGUCAAGUCGGAUGUGAAAUCCCCGGGCUCAACCUGGGAACUGCAUUCGAAACUGGCAGGCUAGAGUCUUGUAGAGGGGGGUAGAAUUCCAGGUGUAGCGGUGAAAUGCGUAGAGAUCUGGAGGAAUACCGGUGGCGACGGCGGCCCCCUGGACAAAGACUGACGCUCAGGUGCGAAAGCGUGGGGAGCAAACAGG